rnacentral:rRNA from 1 species
GACGAACGCUGGCGGCGUGCUUAACACAUGCAAGUCGAACGGAAAGGCCCUGCUUUUGUGGGGUGCUCGAGUGGCGAACGGGUGAGUAACACGUGAGUAACCUGCCCUUGACUUUGGGGUAACUUCAGGAAAAUGGGGCUAAUACCGGAUAGGAGCUCCUGCUGCAUGGUGGGGGUUGGAAAGUUUCGGCGGUUGGGGAUGGACUCGCGGCUUAUCAGCUUGUUGGUGGGGUAGUGGCUUACCAAGGCUUUGACGGGUAGCCGGCCUGAGAGGGUGACCGGCCACAUUGGGACUGAGAUACGGCCCAGACUCCUACGGGAGGCAGCAGUGGGGAAUAUUGCACAAUGGGCGGAAGCCUGAUGCAGCAACGCCGCGUGCGGGAUGACGGCCUUCGGGUUGUAAACCGCUUUCGCCUGUGACGAAGCGUGAGUGACGGUAAUGGGUAAAGAAGCACCGGCUAACUACGUG